GACGAACGCUGGCGGCGUGCCUAACACGUGCAAGUCGAGCGGGGAUUUAAGUGGAAGUUCUUCGGAAUGGAGAUUUAAAUUCUAGCGGCGGACGGGUGAGUAACGCGUGAACAAUCUGUCCCGGACAGGGGGAUAACACUUGGAAACAGGUGCUAAUACCGCAUAAGACCACGGCCUCGCAUGGGGCUGAGGUAAAAGGAGCAAUCCGGUUCGGGGUGAGUUCGCGUCCGAUUAGCUAGUUGGUGAGGUAACGGCCACCAAGGCGACGAUCGGUAGCCGGCCUGAGAGGGUGAACGGCCACAUUGGAACUGAGAGACGGUCCAAACUCCUACGGGAGGCAGCAGUGGGGAAUAUUGGGCAAUGGGCGAAAGCCUGACCCAGCAACGCCGCGUGAGGGAAGAAGGUUUUCGGAUUGUAAACCUCUGUCCUAUGGGACGAAGGAAGUGACGGUACCAUAGGAGGAAGCCCCGGCUAACUACGUG
rnacentral:rRNA from 1 species